AACGAACGCUGGCGGCAUGCCUAACACAUGCAAGUUGAACGAACCCUUCGGGGUUAGUGGCGCACGGGUGCGUAACGCGUGGGAAUCUGCCCUUUGCUUCGGAAUAACUCAGGGAAACUUGUGCUAAUACCGGAUGAUGUCUUCGGACCAAAGAUUUAUCGGCAAGGGAUGAGCCCGCGUAGGAUUAGGUAGUUGGUGGGGUAAAGGCCUACCAAGCCGACGAUCCUUAGCUGGUCUGAGAGGAUGAUCAGCCACACUGGGACUGAGACACGGCCCAGACUCCUACGGGAAGCAGCAGUGGGGAAUAUUGGACAAUGGGCGCAAGCCUGAUCCAGCAAUGCCGCGUGAGUGAUGAAGGCCCUCGGGUCGUAAAGCUCUUUUACCAGGGAUGAUAAUGACAGUACCUGGAGAAUAAGCUCCGGCUAACUCCGUG
rnacentral:rRNA from 1 species